AGCGAUCUUCAGGGCAGGGUGAAAUUCCCGAUCGGCGGUAUAGUCCGCGAGCCGCGCAGCGGCAGGAUUUGGUGUGAUUCCAAAACCGACAGUAUAGUCUGGAUGGAAGAAGAUGGAU
rfam:Firmicutes bacterium CAG:114 genomic scaffold, scf219